UACGUAGGGGGCAAGCGUUGUCCGGAAUCAUUGGGCGUAAAGCGCGCGUAGGCGGCUCGAUAAGUCUGCUGUGAAAGUCCAGGGCUCAACCCUGGGAUGCCGGUGGAUACUGUCGAGCUCGAGUCCGGAAGAGGCGAGUGGAAUUCCUGGUGUAGCGGUGAAAUGCGCAGAUAUCAGGAGGAACACCAAUGGCGAAGGCAGCUCGCUGGGACGGUACUGACGCUGAGACGCGAAAGCGUGGGGAGCAAACAGG
rnacentral:rRNA from 1 species